AUUGAACGCUGGCGGCAUGCCUUACACAUGCAAGUCGAACGGCAGCACGGGUGCUUGCACCUGGUGGCGAGUGGCGAACGGGUGAGUAAUACAUCGGAACGUACCUUAUCGUGGGGGAUAACGCAGCGAAAGCUGUGCUAAUACCGCAUACGCCCUGAGGGGGAAAGCGGGGGAUCGCAAGACCUCGCGCGAUUAGAGCGGCCGAUGCCUGAUUAGCUAGUUGGUGGGGUAAAAGCCCACCAAGGCGACGAUCAGUAGCUGGUCUGAGAGGACGAUCAGCCACACUGGGCCUGAGAUACGGCCCAGACUCCUACGGGAGGCAGCAGUGGGGAAUUUUGGACAAUGGGGGCAACCCUGAUCCAGCAAUGCCGCGUGAGUGAAGAAGGCCUUCGGGUUGUAAAGCUCUUUUGUCAGGGAAGAAACACCGGCUCUAACACAGUCCGGGAAUGACGGUACCUGAAGAAUAAGCACCGGCUAACUACGUGCCAGCCGCCGCCGUAA
rnacentral:rRNA from 1 species